AUGCGAGCACCGUGGCAGGUCCGGCGUGGCGCCGCUGCUCGGCCACGCCACCUCCGUCCACCAGCGCGUCGCGCUUCAGCCGCCGGUCUCACCAUGCCGGUAUGCCGCUCGCCCAGGGUGGCCAACCGCACGGCGGCGACGGGCGCAGGGAGCGGUGACGGCUGUGCGACGGUGAGAUGGACCGGCGCCGGGGACGGAGCAGGGCGGCACCGGCUGUGCGACGGCGAGGUGGAGCGUCGUCGGGGACGGAGCAGGGCGGCGGCGGCUGUGCGACGGCGAGGUAGAGCAGCGCCGGGGACGGAGCAGGGCGACGGCGAGGUGGAGCGGCGCCGGGGACGGAACAGGGCAGCGGCACGAGUGCACGACGAGGUGGCGCCGGGGCCGAGGCGGAGCAGGUGGUGCGGCGGCGAGGCGGCGCUGGGGGAGGUCACCCGUGGAAGGCAGCGGCCGCCGUCGCUCCGCCCGACCACCUCCCGUGUGCGGCCGCCGCCGUCUCCCUCCGACCUCAACCAGUUCGGGGCCCCUCGCCCGGGAUCUGGGUACGGGAAGAGGCCGACGUUUGCGGUGCCCUGGAUCCGAAGGGGAGGGGGAAAGGCGUUCCGUGCAGAAAAUAUGUUUCAUAGUUUGCUAACAAGAAACCUUUUCUUUACCAUGUACGGUUCUGUUUUUUCCACAUUGUUUAUUUGCAAUUGAGGUACAAUUCUAUUUUUUCCACAUUGUGGCAGGAACCAGCAAGUUAGAAGCAUUUUGGUAGCUCCAUAAUGCCUUCGAAUUUAUACUUUAAUAAAUUCUAUUUGGCAAUAUUAGGUCCAAAAAUAUGCUUCAUGUUGGUAUUUUUUUACUUGCAGCCUGCUUGUCGCUAUGUCCAUGAUUAUCAUUGUAGUUUCUCUUGGUUGGACUGAUGUUUUGGGAAACUUAAUUUGCAAUGGGAAACUUCACCUUAUCGUGUGGUGCUUAUUUCCCCCAUGGAAUUUUGUUUAGCUAGCUCCAUGUUUUUGCAUUGCUCAAUCUCAAUGUCUGUGCCUAAUGCUGUUUUAACCUUUUUCUUUGCAGGUUCGGUACAUUAUUGCAAAACUGAAAGAGCUACUGUGCUAGGAGCCUUUUGCAGAUAAAUCUGAUAAAAGAUUUAGUUAGUGUUUGGCUGUUCGGUUUGCCCAUAGCCUCUAGCAAUGAGUGCAUAUAUCGGGAUCAGUGGAUGCAAGUAACAAGGAAUGGUGAUUGCAAGCAAUGAGUGUUGAUUCUACAAGGAACGGUGAUUGCAAGUAACAAGCUUGGUCUGAAGCUAUGUUCCUUUUGGAUGUACAGACCAACUUGUUAUGUCCAUGAUUAGCAUUGUAGUUUCUCUUGGUUGAUGUUUUUUUGGAAUACUUAA